CCUGCUCUCAGCUGUGGCCCACAGCAAACACACAGAAGCCUGUGCAGACACCAAGGGAUCAGAGCUCACUGUCCCAGGCCCCAGGCAGCUGUGGAAGAUGGAAGGGAGCAAGGGCAGCCCCAGGAUGUCCACUGAACAGGAGAACACAGAGAUGCAUCUCAUUGAAUGUAUGUUAAAGCACUUCAAGACACAGAAAGUGGCCAUUUCUAAUGCGAUAAGAAGUACAUUUCCUUUUCUUGAGAGCCUCCGAGACCGUGAAUUCAUCACUGGUAAAAUGUAUGAAGAUUUGCUAGAUUCCUGUAGAUCGCUGGUCCCUGUGGACAAAGUGAUCUACAGAGCCCUGGAGGAACUGGAGAAGAAAUUUGACAUGACGGUACUGUGCGAAUUGUUCAAUGAGGUCAACAUGGAGAAGUACCCCAAUUUGAAUCUCAUUCGUAGAAGCUUUGAAUGUGGUAUUGGGUUUUAUAUCGCUCCUUGAGAGCACAGUCCUUUUUGUUGUCAACAAAUGUAUAUUAAGCUUUUAUCAUGUGCCAUAUAUCAUGCAGAGCAAUUGAGGAUAUAACAGUUAACAAGACUACUGUGUCAUGAAUCAUAUGAAAACUUAUGACUAAUGGCUGACACCCUCCCGAGCUCUGCCGCUGGGCAUUUAGGCUCUCAGGACAAUAGGAGGCAUACCAUCAUCAGGCUAUGUAGAAGAGGGUAGGAUUAGAAGUGCUGAUUGUCAGUAGGGUAGCACUGUUGUGUCUCUCAGUGGGCAUUCUUACAUGGUGAGAGUGCUCUUGUCUCCCCAGCUAGGGAGGUGAGGGAUGUCUUCUGACUCCCCCUCCCCCCUUUUUUGAGACAGGGUUUCUCUAUGCGACUUUGGCUAUCCUGGAACUCAUUGUAUAGACCAGGCUAGCCUCCAGCUCCAGAUCUGCCUGCCUCUGCCUUCUGAGUGCUGGGACUAAAGGCGUAAGCCACAUGCUCAGGUGAUCCACUUAAAACUCAAAACACACUUCUCAUUAUUCCAGUUUUUCAUCUUGAACUUCAUGUCAUUUAUGAUUAUAAUAAUAAUUAUUAUUGACAGAAUCUUACUCUGUAACCCAACUUAGCUUGUUACUAUAUAGCUGAGCCUAGCCUUAAAUUCGUGCCACUCCUGUCUCAGCUUCCUGUGACUGCCUGGCUGACCAACAGCCUUUCUGAAGGUUGAUUCAUUGCCACCAAGACAAAGUGAGCAGCAAGCUCCUGAUGUUUGAUCUGCAGCUGUGCAGGAGCCUAGCAUUUCUUGCUUCCAAUUUUUUAAAAAAAUGAUCUUGGACUUCUUUAUUUAAAGUCUAAAAAUAGAUCAACUCUCUUCGUCACAUACAUAGUGAAGGCAAAGUUAUCAGGGUUAUAUAUACGUGUAUAUAUACAUCUCU